rnacentral:rRNA from 1 species
UACAGAGGGUGCGAGCGUUGUCCGGAAUCACUGGGCGUAAAGGGCGCGUAGGCGGUCUCUUAAGCGUGUGGUGAAAGCCCGGGGCUCAACUCCGGGUCGGCCGUGCGAACUGGGGGACUGGAGCUUGUCAGAGGCAGGCGGAAUUCCGGGUGUAGCGGUGGAAUGCGUAGAGAUCCGGAGGAACACCAAAGGCGAAGGCAGUGUCCUGGGGAGUACCUGACGCUCAGGUGCGAAAGCCAGGGGAGCGAACGGG